rnacentral:rRNA from 1 species
GAUGAACGCUGGCGGCGUGCUUAACACAUGCAAGUCGAACGAGAAGUGGAGACGGAAACCUUCGGGCGGAAGACUUUACUUCGAGUGGCGGACGGGUGAGUAACGCGUGGGUAACCUGCCUCAUACAGGGGGAUAACAGUUGGAAACGACUGUUAAUACCGCAUAAGACCACAGCACCGCAUGGUGCGGGGGUAAAAACUCCGGUGGUAUGAGAUGGACCCGCGUUCGAUUAGCCAGUUGGCGGGGUAACGGCCCACCAAAGCGACGAUCGAUAGCCGAUCUGAGAGGAUGACCGGCCACAUUGGGACUGAGACACGGCCCAAACUCCUACGGGAGGCAGCAGUGGGGAAUAUUGCACAAUGGGGGAAACCCUGAUGCAGCGACGCCGCGUGGGUGAAGAAGUAUUUCGGUAUGUAAAGCUCUAUCAGCAGGGAAGAAAAUGACAGUACCUGAGUAAGAAGCCCCGGCUAACUACGUG